rnacentral:lncRNA from 1 species
AAUAAUGAUCGUGGUUGAGUUAUGAGAACUCAGAUGCAUGUUGCCAUACAUUUGCGAGAUAGUUUCCUCAUCGCUCAAGUCUUCGUUCCCUUGUUGACUUGAGUUAGAUAUGAGUUGAAUAUUGAUUAGAAACCCUGUAGAGCCGAGUGGACCCAUAGGAUAGGAGAACUCACUGAGAUUAUUAUCUUAUCCCAUUAUUGUUG